rnacentral:rRNA from 1 species
AUUGAACGCUGGCGGCAUGCUUUACACAUGCAAGUCGAACGGCAGCGGGGGCUUCGGCCUGCCGGCGAGUGGCGAACGGGUGAGUAAUGCAUCGGAACGUGCCCAUGUCGUGGGGGAUAACGUAUCGAAAGGUACGCUAAUACCGCAUACGCCCUGAGGGGGAAAGCGGGGGAUUCUUCGGAACCUCGCGCGAUUGGAGCGGCCGAUGUCGGAUUAGCUAGUAGGUGAGGUAAAGGCUCACCUAGGCGACGAUCCGUAGCGGGUCUGAGAGGAUGAUCCGCCACACUGGGACUGAGACACGGCCCAGACUCCUACGGGAGGCAGCAGUGGGGAAUUUUUGGACAAUGGGGGCAACCCUGAUCCAGCCAUGCCGCGUGAGUGAAGAAGGCC